rnacentral:rRNA from 1 species
CCUACGGGAGGCAGCAGUGGGGAAUAUUGGACAAUGGGCGAAAGCCUGAUCCAGCCAUGCCGCGUGUGUGAAGAAGGCCUUCGGGUUGUAAAGCACUUUCAGUGGGGAAGGAAGCCUUGGGGCUAAUACCCUCGAGGAAGGACAUCACCCACAGAAGAAGCACCGGCUAACUCCGUGCCAGCAGCCGCGGUAAUACGGAGGGUGCGAGCGUUAAUCGGAAUUACUGGGCGUAAAGCGCGCGUAGGCGGUCUGAUAAGCCGGUUGUGAAAGCCCCGGGCUCAACCUGGGAACGGCAUCCGGAACUGUCAGGCUAGAGUGCAGGAGAGGAAGGUAGAAUUCCCGGUGUAGCGGUGAAAUGCGUAGAGAUCGGGAGGAAUACCAGUGGCGAAGGCGGCCUUCUGGACUGACACUGACGCUGAGGUGCGAAAGCGUGGGUAGCAAACAGGAUUAGAUACCCGGGUAGUC